rnacentral:rRNA from 1 species
ACGAAGGGUGCAAGCGUUAAUCGGAAUUACUGGGCGUAAAGCGUGCGUAGGUGGUUAGUUAAGUCUGUCGUGAAAGCCCUGGGCUCAACCUGGGAAUGGCGAUGGAUACUGGCUGACUAGAGUGCGGUAGAGGGUAGCGGAAUUUCCGGUGUAGCGGUGAAAUGCGUAGAGAUCGGAAGGAACAUCCGUGGCGAAGGCGGCUACCUGGACCAGCACUGACACUGAGGCACGAAAGCGUGGGGAGCAAACAGGA